UACAGAGGGGGCAAGCGUUAUUCGGAAUUAUUGGGCGUAAAGGGCGCGUAGGCGGCCUUUCAAGUGACGGGUGAAAUCCCCCGGCUUAACCGGGGAACUGCCUGUCAGACUGGGAGGCUUGAGACCGGGAGAGGUGAGUGGAAUUCCCAGUGUAGCGGUGAAAUGCGUAGAUAUUGGGAGGAACACCAGUGGCGAAGGCGGCUCACUGGACCGGUACUGACGCUGAGGCACGAAAGUGUGGGGAUCAAACAGG
rnacentral:rRNA from 1 species